ensembl:lncRNA
AACACUCUCUUCUUUCUAAUUUCCACCUACCAUCAUGGCCUGGGGCUCACUGUGCUGGUUCAUUUUGUUUCCAUUGUGAAGUGAAGUGAAAGUCACUCAGUCAUGUCUGACUCUUUGCGACCCCCAUAGACUGUAGCCUGCCAGGCUACUCUGUCCAUGGAAUUCUCCAGGUCAGAACACUGGAGUGGCUAGCUGUUCCCUUCUCCAGGAGAUCUUCUUAACCCAGGGAUCAAACUCAGGUGUCCUGCAUUGGAAAAAAAAUUUCUUUACCACCUGAGCCACCAGAGAAGCCCUUCCUUCCUUUGGAGGUUCUUUGUUGUCCUCUCAACAUGCUUGUUGAUGUCAUUAUAUCCAUCAUCAUCAUCAUAUCAGCUGAAGAACACAGUCUGGCUUGUCAACCACCAGUGUUCCGUGUGAGCGUAAUCCUGAAUCGCAACUCAGAAGUGAGAACGGAAAGGAGAAGCCCUUCGUAAGGGGGAUCUUCCUGACCCAGGGAUCGAACCCAGGUCUCCUGCAUUUCAGGCGGAUUCUUUACCCUCUGAGCCACCAGGGAAGCCCAUGAGCGCCCUCCCCCACCAAACCCCAGCAAAUCACCUUUGGCCCAAGCCUCCAGCAGGAAAGGAAAGAAUCAGCAGAAUACAGCAGAAAAUGUGAACUCAAUAAAAUGUAGACAUGCUAUUUAGUGGCUGGAGAUGUGACUAAACAUGACAAGAUCUGUCAGCUGUACCUACAGUGUUCAGUACAGUGGCUGCCAGCCAUAUGUGGUCAUGGGUAUUGAAAUGGAUAGUCUGAGGAGAUAGGAGCUGUACAUGUGAAAUACACAGUGUAUUUUAAACUUUAAGUAUGAAAAAAUGCCAAAUAUUGCACUUAACGAUUUUUAUAUUGAUUACAUGUUGAUACCAUGUUUAGAGUAUUUUGAUUUAAAUAAAAUAUAUUAUUUAUUUAAUUUUAUCUAUUUCUGUUUAUAGUUUUUAACCUGGUUACUAAAAAGAAAUUAAAUCCAUUUGUGCUUACAUUAUAUUCUAUUAGACAACAUUUUUCUAGACUGGGAUCUUUUUUUUUUUUUAAUGUAAAGAUGUUAACUAUUUUAGACUUGUGUCUGUCACAGUUACUCAAAUCUACAUAGUACACUAGCAGCGAUGGGCAAUAUGUCAACAAAUGAAUGUGGCUGUGUUCCAGUAAAGCUUUAUUUAUGGAUACUAAAUUGUAAAUGCCAUGCAUUAUCAUGUACUAUGAAAUAUUACUUUUUCUUUUUUUCUAACAAUUUUAAAAAGAAAUAGCUAUUCCUUGGCCUAUAAAAACAGGUUCCUCAUGGGCCAGAGAUUGCUAACCCUGUAUUUUAUUCUAGAUUUUACUCUGCAUUUAUUAUCUUUGGCCCUUACUAAAAUGACUUAAUUUAUACCCUUAUCUAAAAUUGUAAUGUUUAUAGCUUAAUUAUAAAGUCCCCUCUCAUCUGUCAAGCUGUUGGAAUUCCAAGUGACAUAGCAGGUAAAUAACUUUACAAUUUGAAUCAAAGAUAAAAUAGACCAAGAAUAAAAUAAGUUGACUCUAAAAUUAGUACAUUUCCUGAUGCUAGAAGUGUUUAAACAGAGGGAAGUUUCUAGAAAAGGAUUUUGUAGAAUAAAAUUAAAUGCUAAAUGUAGUGUUUAAUCAAGUAUGUAAUAACCCCUUUUCAAACACCAAACACAGUUUGUUUUAUUUUAUUGUUAUAUGUUAACUCAAUUUUAGUUGAAAUGUUGUGGGAAAAUGCAACAAGAUUUCAGAGUUCAGGUUCUAACUCCUAUCAUGGAAAUAAUUUAUUAUAUUGUGAAGGUUUAGUAGGAAUCUCAGAUCUGAUGGCUUACAUUGUUUCCAUUUUGGUAGUAGAAUUCAGUAAGGUUUUUAACACAGGGGGAUGAGAUUAUGUAGAGUAGAUUAAUACAAGUCUUUCUUUUAUCUAUCAAAGUAAUAUUAGUAAAUUACCUGCAAUUUACUUGAACACAUAACCAACGAUUUGAAAUAAGUUGAUAAUUAAUAUUUUAAGUUGUACUUUGAUAAAUACCCUCCCAAUGUUUUGAUCUUUUCUGACAAUUCCUAAUGCUCUUCAGCUGUUGUAAGUAUAGAAUAUAUGAUGCAAUUACACUGAGUUUAUGUUUCUUGAGUUAAUAAAUUGGUCUCAAUUGCUAAUGGAUUCUUUAUACUGAUUGAAUUUGCAUGUUGAAUUGGUUUAAAUUGCCUGACCAUAUUUCAAGGUUAAAUACAAAAGUAUGUGGAGCUAUUAAUUUUGUGUUGCUGUUGUUGGUUUGAAUGAUUUAGGUACUUGAAGCUAGAGCAGGAAUUAAAUUAAUUUGUGCCUUCACCUUAGCCCAGCCUUUCUCUUUGUAUAAUGUAUCUGUGACAUUUGUCUUCAUUCCGAGAGAAAAUGAGGAAAACUCAUCAGAACAAAUGACCAGUUCUCAUUAAACUGAUGAUUUUGAGGGGGAUUUCCUUUGAUUCCAUGUAAUGAUACAUUACCUUCCCAAAGAAUGAAUUUAGCAAUGAGAAAUCUAAAUCUGAAUGUAUACCAACCCAAAUCAAUCAAAUCAUCCUAACAAUUUCAAGGGCAAAAAGAAGAACAAUAUCAUAUUCUGCAGCUGCUGACAAAGAAAUCAACAUGUCUGGUGCUUGGGUCUCAUGUGUGAGGAACAAAUAUUUCCAGCAGAUGCUCUGCUUUCUCAAAUCCACAUGAGCUGGACAUUUACAACUUUGUUCUAGAGGCUAGAAGAAGUGGAAUAGUUUUUACCUUUUAGAUUAUAAAAUGUAAUCCUAUGCAAAUGUCCUUUGAGACUAGCCCAUAAGAUUCUCUCAUAGUCUCUCCAGAGAAGUGAAAUUUCAGUUGCAAAACAACCUUAAUCCUUAAAGCUUCUAUGAAAACUUAGGCGGAAGACAGUACAAGUAAGCCUUUGCAAACAAGCCCCAAGGGAAUAUAUGUAGCCCACAUCUAUCAACCACAGUGUAUCCCCUGUAACACACAAAUUUGUCUUAGGAAGAAGCAGACCAUAUUGAUUUUCUUCAUCUCUCUGGGGAUAGAACUUCAGAAUUGGUCAAUUACAGUAUUUCAUAUUUCCGUAUUGCUAGCCUGGGCAUAUAAUAGUUGACCUAACUAGCAGCAGAAGCAUAUUUUAUUCAGUUAAUGUUUGUAUUCCUGGUUGUGUGUAACUUAAAAUUAAAAGUCAGCUUUAGUUUCCAAUAUAUACUUUAGACAAAAUAUCUUAUUAUAUUGUAGUUAGUGAUUAUGAAAGUAACAUAUGCAUUAUCAAGAGACUUUGGAAAAUAU